rnacentral:rRNA from 1 species
GAUGAACGCUGGCGGCGUGCCUAAUACAUGCAAGUCGAGCGAACAGACGAGGAGCUUGCUCCUCUGACGUUAGCGGCGGACGGGUGAGUAACACGUGGAUAACCUACCUAUAAGACUGGGAUAACUUCGGGAAACCGGAGCUAAUACCGGAUAAUAUAUUGAACCGCAUGGUUCAAUAGUGAAAGACGGUUUUGCUGUCACUUAUAGAUGGAUCCGCGCCGCAUUAGCUAGUUGGUAAGGUAACGGCUUACCAAGGCAACGAUGCGUAGCCGACCUGAGAGGGUGAUCGGCCACACUGGAACUGAGACACGGACGAGACUCCGACGGGAGGCAGCAGUAGGGAAUCGUCCGCAAUGGGAGAAAGCCUGACGGAGCAACGCCGCGUGAGUGAUGAAGGUCUUCGGAUCGUAAAACUCUGUUAUUAGGGAAGAACAAAGGUGUAAGUAACUAUGCACGUCUGGACGGUACCUAAUCAGAGAGCCACGGCUAACUACGUG